UACGAAGGGGGCUAGCGUUGCUCGGAAUCACUGGGCGUAAAGCGCACGUAGGCAGGUCUUUAAGUCAGGGGUGAAAUCCUGGAGCUCAACUCCAGAACUGCCUUUGAUACUGAGGAUCUCGAGUCCGGGAGAGGUGAGUGGAACUCCGAGUGUAGAGGUGAAAUUCGUAGAUAUUCGGAAGAACACCAGUGGCGAAGGCGGCUCACUGGCCCGGUACUGACGCUGAGGUGCGAAAGCGUGGGGAGCAAACAGG
rnacentral:rRNA from 1 species